AUUCUAAUUUCCCUCUUUUUAAAGUUUGCUAUGAAAACCCACGAGAUUGAGCUGAAAAAAGAAAUGAAAAAAACUCUCCCAAAGCCUGUCUCUCUCGUCCUCCCUCUCUAUCCAUCAUAGCAAACACCCAAAUUCACCUACCCAUGUAAUCCUCGGAUCUUCCACCUUCGAAUUUCCGAUGGCGUUUCCCUACACAAACCUCAUGCUCUCUCUCUCUCUCUCUACCUCUCCCUAGCCCUCUCCGCCUUCAUCCUCGCUAAAUGCCGUCCCAUUGGUGUAAAGGAAUCUGGUCAUCAGAUCUGAGGAAGAAUGUGCAUCUGGUGUUGAAGAAGUGUGAGAGCCCAUCACCACGGUCACCUUCUCGGACUCGACCUUGGCCGCAAUGGUCGUCGCCCAUUUCCUCAUCUCCGCCUGUGCAGAAGGAAGAUAUCUUGCCGAACAAUGAUUUCCAGCCCAUCCGUCCCAUCACUGGAGCCUCUUCGCAAUCCCCAAGUUUUGAUGCUACACCUAAUCUCGGAGGUGGAGGAGGAUCCACUAGGGCUUGGAACUCCCAAGAGUCCAAGUCCAACACCAAUACUCCCAUCAGAGUAAUUAACCCCUCUCUCAGAAUCUCAUUCUUCAUGGUGCUAGUUUCUUAGUUCUAUAUGUAGUGAGAUUUUGCAUAAUCCAUUUUGCUAUUAACUUAAUCGAAAAUUUGUAUGUUAUGCUUCUGGAAGUUGCAAUUAAAUGUUUAGAACUAGAGAACUGUACUGAAUUUCCCUGAGGGCAGUGUGUGAACGAGCAUGAUAAUGUUUUUUAGAGUAUUAAUAUUUACCAUGGUGGAUUUUUACACAUGUUAUUGUUUGAGAGUAGGCUGACUGAAGAUUAUGCUUUUGAGAGUAUUAAUAUUUACCAUGGUGGAUUUUUACACAUGUUUGUAAAAAUUUGAAAAGGUACAGACCAAAAAUCAUAGGGCCUUAUGGUGAUUGUUCUACCCUCUUUAUAUUCCUUUUUCAAAUAUGGCUAUGCGUGCUAGACUUUAAGUAGACGUCGUUGAUGCUACAAUUAUAUCAGAGAUUGACCACACCAUGAAGAAGUAUGCUGAUAAUUUACUUCAAGUUAUGGAAGGUAUUAGUGCACGACUAACACAACUUGAGAGCAGAACCCGCCACCUUGAGAAUUCUGUUGAUGAUUUGAAGGUAUCUGUGGGAAACAAUCAUGGAAAUGCUGAUGGAAAGAUGAGACAAAUGGAGAAUAUUCUUAGAGAUGUGCAAACAGGUGUUCAGGAUUUGAAGGAUAAGCAAUCAAUAGUAGAGGCUCAGAAUCCAAUCUAGCUGAUGUCUUUAAGAUUAUGGAAUGCUUUCUUUCAGGUUGGUAAAUAUGCAAAGGAGAUGACACAACAGAAACCAAUCUAGCUAAAAGAGAGGUUUCUGUUCUUGAAAAUGUGUAUUGGAAGCAACUUGGAAUUAUUGCUAAUGAGUGGCUCAUAAUACUUGGAUUGCAGAUUGCCAAGAUUACGGCUUGUUUUUUUGGCUGAUCCCCAAAAAAACUGCUCUUAUAGAAAUUGAUUUAAUUUAUGUAGAAGUAAAAGUAUUGCUGCCUGAUUUUGGAGGUUGUGCAUAUUGAACAGGGAGAGGUAUGAAGUGGUUUCAAAGAUCUGGCAUACACAGAGUGGGGAACGAGGUCAAAUUUGGUUUACACAGACAAGGAUAUUGAUGAGAUCCGAGUGGAAUGGGCUAAGCAUGUUUUGAAGUUCCCAGAAAAUUAAGUAUCAGCCUAUAUAAAUGCUUUUGUUUCUGGUAGGUUAUGAGCAGUAGUAGUGUCUAGGAACUGCUUUUGUGCAUUUUGACAGAACUGAUGGAAAGUGUUGAACAAAUGCAUGCAGUUGCUGUAACUACUCUAUGGAUGCUACUAGGUUUUUGUCUUAGUUAGAUUAGGAUCCGUGCAACAAUGGCAGUAAUUAAAAUUAGUUAAUGUAAAGGCUAGCAUGCUAGCUAGUUUAGUAUUAUGCUACUGAUGGAAAUGUAUUUUGGUGGGUUAAUUUAUGCAAUGAGGAAUUUGCUGA